rnacentral:rRNA from 1 species
ACGGAAUAGAUACCCCGGUAGUCCACGCCCUAAACGAUGUCUACUAGUUGUUGGUGGAGUAAAAUCCAUGAGUAAACGCAGCUAAACGCGUGAAGUAGACCGCCUGGGGAGUACGGUCGCAAGAUUAAAACUCAAAUGAAUUGACGGGGGCCCGCACAAGCGGUGGAUUAUGUGGAUUAAAUUCGAUGCAACGCGAAAAACCUUACCUGGCCUUGACAUGUAACGAACUUUCCAGAGAUGGAUUGGUGCUCGAAAGAGAACGUUAACACAGGUGCUGCAUGGCUGUCGUCAGCUCGUGUCGUGAGAUGUUGGGUUAAGUCCCGCAACGAGCGCAACCCUUGCCAUUAAUUGCCAUCAUUUAGUUGGGCACUUUAAUGGGACUGCCGGUGACAAACCGGAGGAAGUGGGGAUGACGUCAAGUCCUCAUGGCCCUUAUGGCCAGGGCUUCACACGUAAUACAAUGGUCGGUACAGAGGGUUUGCCAACCCGCGAGGGGAGCCAAUCCCAGAAAGCCGAUCGUAGUCCGGAUUGUAGUCUGCAACUCGACUAC